GUCGUCGUGGCCGAAGUGGUUAAGGCGACAGACUAGAAUUCUGUUGGUCUCUGCCCGCACAGGUUCGAAUCCUGUCGGCGACG
rnacentral:tRNA from 1 species